AGAGGAGUUGAUCAAUUCAUCGGAUCGGGACUGACGGG
rnacentral:tRNA from 7 species